AUGGUCCCAUCAGUGGGCGAAAACUUCCCCCGUGGUCCCAAAGUCAACGUGAGAAACGCAAAUAAAUCCCAAAGGAAGGGGAAGGAGGAUGGAAAACACCACCCAAAGUACCCGAAACCACCCCAGAAAGCAGCCCCCAGCCCUCAGCACCCCGAGCAGGGUGGGGGGGCUCUCCCUGCGGGGGAAGGAGGUUGUGCAGGGAAUAAUUUGGGGGAAAGGAGGGUGCUUCAGCCCCAAGGUGCACACACAAGGAGGGGGCACGGGGAGCUCCCUGCUCCCGUCAGGACCCCUCACUGCAGCUCCAGGGGGGCUGAGCCCCCUUCCCCUGCCCAUGGCACGAAACAAACUGGGGGUACCCAAACCCAGCCCGGCAGCAGAUUUUGGGGCUGCGCCUCCACCCCGAGCUUCCCCAGCCCCUUCUCCCUUCCAGCACCCCGAGGGGGCUCCGGGGGGGGCUUCCAGGGACCCCAGGAGCGGGGCCGUGCAGCGGGGCCGGGGCCAAUCCUGCUCGCUCCGGAGCCGGGAUGCGCCCGGGCGCAGCGGGUUUGUCCCGGUACAAGCGCUCCUCCCGCUCGGAGCGGACGAGAAGCGGGGUACCGGGACCUUCCCCGGCCCCAACCCCAUCCCCAGCCCCCCCGGGACAGGAUGAGACCCGCUCCGGGGGCUGCGCUCCGGGGGCUGCACCGGCUCCCACCGGCUCCCACCUCUGCUCCGGGGGGGAGCGCACGGACAAAGGCCGGUCCCGGGGCCGGUCCCCCCCGCUCCCCCCGGGGUCGCCUCCGCUCCCGAGGCGCAGAAACGGUCCCGGGGAGCCCCGGGAUGGGGGGGGCGCAGCCUCGCAGCCCCGGCACGCAGCGGGAGGGAGCUCGGCACCGGCACGCCCGGUGGCGGCGGUGUCCCCAAGCCCCCGGCGCGGUGUCCCCGACCGGUGCCGUGCCCGUGUCCCCCCUCCUCGACCUCCGGUGCCUCCCCCCCCAGGCGCGGUGUCCCCCUGUCCCCGCUGUCCCCCUGUCCCCGGGCUCUGUGUCCCCCUGUCCCAGCCGUCGGGGGUUUUCGGGGCGGCGGCGGCUCCUCUCCCACCGGCAUCCCGGAGCCCCCCCCCGGUCGCCCACCUCUCCGACGGCCCCCCCUCAGCCUCCCCCCGCCACAUCCUCACCCCCCAUCCCGCCCCCCCCCCCAAUUGGGGUCCCCCAACCCCUUUUGCCCCCCCUCCCCCCCCCGCCCCCGGGGCGGAAACAUGGCCCGGGGGGGGGGGCAAAGGGGUGCAGGGGGGUCACCCCAACCCUAAGGCUACCGGGGACAGGGGGGGGGGACAUCCCGGGGCGGCGGCACUCACCGUCCUGGGGCGCUGCUUCGCUGCCGCUGCUGCCUCCCGACGGCUCCGGCAUCGCCUUGCCGCCCCCGGCGGGUGGGGGGCCGGCUGGGGGGGUCCCGUUCAUGCCGGCCGCCACCUCCUCCAGGUCGAGGAGGUGGCUGACGCUGAAGUUUUUCCGGCCCUGGGGGUUUUCGGGAGGCUCCGGAGCGCGCACGGUGCCGGGGGCGAACGGCUUGUCCAUGGCGAAGGCUGGCGCCGAGUCCAUGGCUCCCCCCCCCCAGCCCACCCCGAGGUGCCGGGCCGCUCCCCGGCCCCUUCCCCUUCUCCACCCUCCCCCCCCCUCCCCAACCCCUUCAAGUAAAUAA
rnacentral:lncRNA from 1 species